GCUGUGCGAUACUGUCACCAUAACUUUAUAUUUAAACCUUUUCCAACCGCGGAUUCGCUCGUUAAAUACAUUUGAGAGCUUCGUGCAUUUCGCCUAAUCCAGAACACACCCAUGUGACGAAUGUGUCAUUUUUCAACGCCUAGAGCAUUGACACUUUCGGUUGCAAUUAUGUACGAUUUGUAAUGUUUUGGAACAGUUUUCAAUGAUCUAGGUGUUUUGGUGCAUGACCUGGACAACAGACGCAGCGGGGCCGAACAUUUGGUUUUCUGUCUCUCUUGCCGCUCUUUCCCUGUCACUUGCCUGUAUGUAGUUGUCUUCAAUGAACCCGUCAUCAUCGUCUUCUAUUAUUUCACCAUCGUGUGCCUGGCUUG